rnacentral:snoRNA from 1 species
CUUCAAAUGAUGAAUACUUUUUUAGCGAUGGGCGGACUGAAAGAAGUAAAACUUUGCAUGUCGAAAAUCGCGUAAACUGAUAAAGAAUUAUAUAUACUGAAUA